UAAGAUCCAAGCCGUCAAUGUUUUUUGAUCUAACGAACCUCAACUCACCCACUCCACGUAUAUAACAGUCCGAACGGACCCUACCCCCUUAGAAACCCCCUGCUCAUCUCGUAGAACCACUCAUCCCUGAUAAACUCUAGCGUCGCGGCCCUAAAAUUCCACCGCCUUUGGCCGACAGCGCCGUUGCGAAACGACCCCAAAGUAACAUCCUAAGACCUACUCCAUCUCCUCUUUACCAUUUUGUGCUCCAUUCUUAUCGAAUAUGUGUAGAAUGUGUCGAAUAUUGAAUCUGAGGUUGAGCCCUAGAGGCCGAAUGUUGACCAAUGCAUGCAAGGCUAUAUUCCUUAUUCCCCAUAAGAUUGAGGGCCGAUUUUAUCCCGAAAUAACAUCAUUUGCUUGUUCUUAACCAAGAACAAAAAAUUGGUGUUAUUUGGAGAUCUAAUCGGAGGUUCAAGCGAGUUCAAGGCUUGAAUUAGUGAGUCUCCUUAGCUGUUCUGUCCAAUUUUUCUUAUCUCAUCCCCAUUCCUCUUUGUUUAUGUUUUAUAUCCGUGACUGUUCCCCCUUCUCUUUCUUAUCAUUAAUUUUCCUUUACCCCAUAGUAUUUCCUAUUACUACUGAUUAAAUUACAUUUAUUUUGUUUUCUUUGUCUGAUUGUUGAUUUAUAGUGAAGAGUUCAAUGUCGAGUUGAGUAAUUAAAAUAAUUCAAGCUUAAAAUCAGAAAGUAAUUAUGUUUUCCCUGAAUUUUUGAUUUAUUAGUUUCUUUGGUUUAUUUGGUCACUUCUGAGUGUUUCAGGCCCUAAUGAGUAACUAUGGUCAUCUUUGACCUGGUUAAAGGGGCUGGUUAGUUAGAUUGUGGGUUAACCUAGCCUAAGGUAAUAAUGAACGGGUAAAAAACAGGGUUGUAGGGGUUAGUUUUGGGUAAUUGCUUAGGGGAAUGUUUGUAUAACUGAUUAAGAAGCUUCUUAGAAGUUAACUUUUGGGAUUGUUUUGAAACUCUGAAAACUAAAUGGGGAUAUCUAGGAAAAAAUGAAACCAUAGAAAGGGCCAAAAUGAAAAAUCUGAUUUCUCUAUUGUUGCCCUAUUGCCUUGCCUAUAAAGACAUCUUAUUAUUGCAUUUGGAGGGAUAUUUUUUUAAGGGAUAAAAUCCAGAAAAUACAAAAACGGGAAAAUUUUCUACAGUUCCAUUGAAUUUCAGUGAUUUUCUGAUUAUUUCAACUUCUGGAAACACUAGUGCUUCAUUAAUGGGAUUUGAGAUGAGUUGAUAUUAGUUUUGGAAAGCUUUUUUGGGUCAAGUUGUGUUGAAGUUUACUAUUCCAUUGGAUUUGGAACUGAUUUUGUGGUUUCAAUUACUAAAUUUCAGUUGUACUGUUGCUGGUGACAAUUUCUGCUGUUACUCUGUUGAUCCCUCACUUUUUCUUUUCCUAUUUCGAUCUCCAGGUAUAUAUCCCUGAUUUUAAACAUGUAAGCCAUUGUUCAUGAAGUGUCUUUGUUGAAGAAAAUGAAGAUUGUGUUUUCCUUUAUCAGAUGUUAUCUCUUCUUAGUUUCUUUACUGUAAUAGGACUAUUAUGUAGUAUAUGUUACUUUGGGUUUGUUUAAUUCUGAGGUUCUAUUGUUAUUAGAAGAGACCAUCAAUUUUAAUAUCCGUGAAUAUUGUUUUAAAAUGUAGAUUUUUAGAAUGUUCUGCUACCACAAAGUUACAAUAGUUGAGAUUGAGCAUGUGUUUAAAAGUUGAAGUCGUUCAAUUUUAUUUCUUUUGUUGGUUUAGUCUUGUUUGAGAAUGGGUAAGGGUUAAAAGGUGGUCCAGUUUGCAAAUUGUCAAUGUUUUUGGGAUGAUUUGGAUGGCUGUAAAAUCAAGCAUGUGUAGUUAUAGUUUGGUAUGAGAAUUUGAAUAAGGUCUAAAUUUAUAGCCUAUUCUAUUUGAGUAA
rnacentral:lncRNA from 1 species